rnacentral:rRNA from 1 species
UAGGGAAUCUUCCACAAUGGGCGAAAGCCUGAUGGAGCAACGCCGCGUGUGUGAUGAAGGGUUUCGGCUUGUAAAACACUGUUGUAAGAGAAGAAUGACAUUGAGAGUAACUGUUCAAUGUGUGACGGUAUCUUACCAGAAAGGAACGGCUAAAUACGUGCCAC